GUAACUUUUGCACACGGUGUCCCUUUUGGGCCCAUAAGUACUUUUUGGAAAUGUAGCGACCCUUUCGGAUUGAACUCACCAUUUCGUCGUGACGUAUGACGGAUUUCGACCAUUUUUUGAAAGAAUUAGCACUUUUAUACUUGGAAGGCUUGGAUAGUCGGCGUACGAAGAAUUGAGGGUACCUUUUGCACACGGUGUCCGUUUUAGGCCCAUAAGUACUUUUUGGAAAUGAAGCGACCCUUUUGGAUCGAACUCACUACUUCAUCGUGACGUAUGAGGGAUUUU
rnacentral:lncRNA from 1 species